rnacentral:rRNA from 1 species
UACAGAGGUCUCAAGCGUUGUUCGGAUUUAUUGGGCGUAAAGGCGCGUAGGCGGCGGGUAAGUCGGUGUGAAUCUCAGGGCUCAACCCUGAAACUGCACUUGAUACUGCUCUGCUUGAGGACUGGAGAGGAGACUGGAAUUCACGGUGUAGCAGUGAAAUGCGUAGAUAUCGUGAGGAAGACCAGUGGCGAAGGCGGGUCUCUGGACAGUUC